GCAGCUCAGUCACAGCAGAUACCGGCCGCUCAAUCACGUACACCUGUCCAAGAGGUAGCAAGGCUCUUUGCGCCAUAUAACAUUGGAGCCAGAAGGAAUAUGACGAGACGACCAGCACAAGUCCAAGUUAGCCGAAGAAGCUACACACACACUGUCUGUUGUUUGGCUGACCACAAUGCGGAUAAAAUUCCAAGCGUACUGUUUAAAGCUGAACUCUUACUUCAGGACUUGGAGAGCAAAAAGUAACAUUUUCAGGGAAUGACCACGAUCCCAUGGUUAUAACAAAUAAACUGAUGGAAGUGUUUCCGAAGCUCCAACAAGGGGGAGGCCUUACAAUAUCGUUGCAAUAUCGACAUCAAGGUGUUAGGUCAAAAAUGUGAUAUUUGAUUUUCUCCAUAUUGCCCAGCCCUAAUGUCAAUGCAUACACAGUUCAGAUGAAUUGACACA